UGACUACUGGAAUAUUUUGAUGAGGAAGAUGCUAUACUGUCAUGGUAAAUAAAUAGGAGAACAGAGCUGCUAGUCAUGCAGUGAACAAAUAAAGAAUGGGAUGAGGCCCUUAAAGUCAUUUUCAUUUGUGAUAUAUGCUGUGAUUUGAACUCUGCUCUCCAGAGGUGAAAGGCACAUGCACUGGAUUACCUAGACUUUGGAUAUUCUUUGAAUGUUGCAUUUUUAUUGCAGUGAUAUCCUACAAAGCGUAACUGUGGAAGACUGGACAAGAGACAGUUGACAUGUUCCAAACCUCAAGGCAAAGGAUAAGCAAAUGCCCUGCACAGAAGAUGAGGCAGUUGGCACUAUCUACUGCACCAGGCAUGUUUCCAAUUUAUAAAGUAGAACAUUUAAGUUACUGGUGCAAAACACUUACCUCAUUGCCAACUAUGUGAAACAAAAUUAGUUAUAGUCAAUUUAAUUAUGUACAGAACAUAGAAGUAUAAUCAAUUUAUUAAGAAUUAUUCCAUACACACUCUACCCCCAUUGAGUAAUAAAGGAAACAACACAUCUCAUGAAUGAUUAUUUGUAAGGCAAAAGGAGAACUCACAUACUGUUGUGAUUAGAUAAUCUCAAGGAGGAGAUAGCAACAGACAAAGGAAACAGCGCAUUGAAGAAAAUUCAGAAAUAAAUGUUAAUAUUUAUUGUCAGUACAUUUUGAAUUAGCUGGUCUGUUUUCUUUGCUACUUCUUACCAGCUGUACUUCUCAAAGAUACUUUCUUUGUUUUUUUCCCCUCCUCUUUGAUGAGGAAAUUAUUCACAUCGGGGUAUAUCUUCAAAAGCAUGAAGACACACUAGAUACCCAAAUGUCAAUGAAAGUCAUAUUUGCAACCUGGACAAUGUCUUACUAUAUGUGUUCUAUGAAAUAACCUCCCAGAGAA